CAAGUCGUGGGGCAGCAGGUCCGUAGCAAUACGGAUGCUGGCGACCGGCAAACGGGUGCGUAACACGUACGCAACCUUCCUUCAGGCGGGGAAUAGCCCGGGGAAACCCGGAUUAAUACCCCAUAAAAUCUUGAGAUGGCAUCAUCUUAUUAUUAAAGCUUCGGCACCUGAUGAUGGGCGUGCGGCUGAUUAGGUAGUUGGCGGGGUAACGGCCCACCAAGCCAGCGAUCAGUAGCUGAUGUGAGAGCAUGAUCAGCCACACGGGCACUGAGACACGGGCCCGACUCCUACGGGAGGCAGCAGUAAGGAAUAUUGGUCAAUGGACGAAAGUCUGAACCAGCCAUGCCGCGUGGAGGAUGAAGGUCCUCUGGAUUGUAAACUCCUUUUAUUUGGGACGAAAAAGGGAAAUUCUUUUCCACUUGACGGUACCAGAUGAAUAAGCACCGGCUAACUCCGUGCCAGCAGCCGCGGUAAUACGGAGGGUGCAAGCGUUAUCCGGAUUCACUGGGUUUAAAGGGUGCGUAGGCGGAUAGGUAAGUCCGUGGUGAAAUCCUGCAGCUUAACUGCAGAACUGCCAUGGAUACUAUUUAUCUUGAAUGUCGUGGAGGUUAGCANAAUAUGUCAUGUAGCGGUGAAAUGCUUAGAUAUGACAUAGAAUACCCAUUGCGAAGGCAGCUAACUACGCGAUAAUUGACGCUGAUGCACGAAAGCGUGGGGAUCAAACAGGAUUAGGUACCCCUGGUAGUCCACGCCCCUAAAACGAUGAUUACUCGACAUUGGUGAUACACAGUUCAGUGUCUGAGCGAAAGCAUUAAGUAAUCCACCUGGGGAA
rnacentral:rRNA from 1 species